rnacentral:rRNA from 1 species
GAUGAACGCUGGCGGCGUGCCUAACACAUGCAAGUCGAGCAAUCUUCUUCGGAAGAGAGCGGCGGACGGGUGAGUAACGCGUGGGUAACCUGCCUCAUACACAUGGAUAACAUACCGAAAGGUAUGCUAAUACAAGAUGAUAUAAGAGAUUCGCAUGGAUUUCUUAUCAAAGCUCCGGCGGUAUGAGAUGGACCCGCGUCUGAUUAGCUAGUUGGUAAGGUAACGGCUUACCAAGGCGACGAUCAGUAGCCGACCUGAGAGGGUGAUCGGCCACAUUGGAACUGAGACACGGUCCAAACUCCUACGGGAGGCAGCAGUGGGGAAUAUUGCACAAUGGGCGAAAGCCUGAUGCAGCAACGCCGCGUGAGCGAUGAAGGCCUUCGGGUCGUAAAGCUCUGUCCUCAAGGAAGAUAAUGACGGUACUUGAGGAGGAAGCCCCGGCUAACUACGUGCCAGCAGCCGCCGUAAUAC